GAUGAACGCUGGCGGCGUGCCUAAUACAUGCAAGUCGAGCGAACGGACGAGAAGCUUGCUUCUCUGAUGUUAGCGGCGGACGGGUGAGUAACACGUGGAUAACCUACCUAUAAGACUGGGAUAACUUCGGGAAACCGUAGCUAAUACCGGAUAAUAUUUUGAACCGCAUGGUUCAAAAGUGAAAGACGGUCUUGCUGUCACUUAUAGAUGGAUCCGCGCUGCAUUAGCUAGUUGGUAAGGUAACGGCUUACCAAGGCAACGAUGCAUAGCCGACCUGAGAGGGUGAUCGGCCACACUGGAACUGAGACACGGUCCAGACUCCUACGGGAGGCAGCAGUAGGGAAUCUUCCGCAAUGGGCGAAAGCCUGACGGAGCAACGCCGCGUGAGUGAUGAAGGUCUUCGGAUCGUAAAACUCUGUUAUUAGGGAAGAACAUAUGUGUAAGUAAUUGUGCACAUCUUGACGGUGCCUAAUCAGAAAGCCACGGCUAACUACGUG
rnacentral:rRNA from 1 species